rnacentral:rRNA from 1 species
GAUGAACGCUGGCGGCGUGCCUAAUACAUGCAAGUCGAGCGAACAGACGAGGAGCUUGCUCCUCUAACGUUAGCGGCGGACGGGUGAGUAACACGUGGAUAACCUACCUAUAAGACUGGGAUAACUUCGGGAAACCGGAGCUAAUACCGGAUAAUAUAUUGAACCGCAUGGUUCAAUAGUGAAAGACGGUUUUGCUGUCACUUAUAGAUGGAUCCGCGCCGCAUUAGCUAGUUGGUAAGGUAACAGCUUACCAAGGCAACGAUGCGUAGCCGACCUGAGAGGGUGAUCGGCCACACUGGAACUGAGACACGGUCCAGAGUCCUACGGGAGGCAGCAGUAGGGAAUCUUCCGCAAUGGGCGAAAGCCUGACGGAGCAACGCCGCGUGAGUGAUGAAGGUCUUCGGAUCGUAAAACUCUGUUAUUAGGGAAGAACAAAUGUGUAAGUAACUAUGCACGUCUUGACGGUACCUAAUCAGAAAGCCACGGCUAACUACGUG